UACGUAGGGUGCGAGCGUUGCCCGGAUUUAUUGGGCGUAAAGGGCGCGUAGGCGGCUCUGCACGUCCGUUGUGAAAUCGCCCGGCUCAACUGGGCGGGGUCAGCGGAUACGGCGGAGCUUGAGCAAGCUAGGGGGCAAUGGAAUUCCCGGUGUAGUGGUGGAAUGCGUAGAUAUCGGGAGGAACACCAGUGGCGAAGGCGAUCACCUGGGGUUGUUCUGACGCUGAGGAGCGAAAGCUAGGGGAGCAAACGGG
rnacentral:rRNA from 1 species